GGCAUCCAAAGUCCAGAGGGGGCCUAGGUGGCAGGGGGCUGGCUUGUUAGCAUUGCCCUGAGCGUGAGCACACCUAGCCAGGUUGUGACAGCACCUGGGCUUGUCUUCAACUUUUCUCUGUGAUCAGAGCAGGCGCUAACAGAGGGGAGAAGCCAGGCAGUGGGAGCAGACACCUCCGAGCCUGUAGGGGGAAGGGAAAGCUUUCCCGGGCCCGGGAGAGUACAGUUGUGCCUGGGUCCCCAGCAGCAACUUGGACAGCUGCAGCCACGCCUGGGAGGGUAGGGAUCCUGCCUGCUCCUGCCAGCUCUGUGGAAUGUGGCACUGCCCCAGACCCAGCUCCACCUUGGGGCCUCUCUCUGCCCGCCCCUCUGUGCCUGACCGCGCUGCUCCCCCACCGGUGGGAGACUGGCUCAGCUCCCAGGGCAGUGGGUGAGGUGCAGGUGGCGCAGCACUCGGGCCAACCCGGCACAAAUGAACCUGACGCUCCUAGGGCCGGCCCUGCGUGUACCAGCUGCGCUGUCGGCCAGCUGCUCCUGCUGCCGCCUCUUGCGCCUCCCCACUGCAGCCCACAUGAUAGCAGCGGCCCCUCCGGAUGGCCUGCCGCUGCCAUCAGCAAGGGUCUCCUUAUGUUGCCAAGGCUUGUCUCAAACUUCUGGACUCAAGCAAUUCACUCAGCCUCCCAAAGUGCUGAGAUUACAGGUAUAAGCCACCACACCUGGCCAAUUCUUUUUUUCUCUGUGCUGCAAUUUAUUUUUCUAUUGACUUGUCUUCCAGUGCACUAAUCAUGUCUUCUGCUCAAUCUAUUCAGCUGUGAAACUCAUCUAUUGCGUCUUAUUUUUUAUUUCUAAAAUUUCCAUUUAAUUCUUUUUUAGUAAAUUCUAAUUCUUUGGUAAAAUUUUCCAUCUUGAUUCCUAUUUUCCUUCCCUUUCUCUACUUUCUUUAGCAUCCUAAUGAUAGUUAAGAUCCUUGUGUGUUAAUGUCAAUAUCUGAAUCAACCAUAGGUGUAUUUACAUUCUCUAUUUUUUUCUCUUAUUGUUGGUCAUAUGAUCCUAUCUCUUGGCAUACCUAGUUGUCUAGUUUAGUGAACACUAGACAAUAUAUGUGUGUAUACAGGUGUACACACACUCACACACACACAGAACAGAAGCACCAUAUAAUGUUAACUUCAUCUAGAAAAAGUUUGUCUUUCCUGUGCUGGAAAGGUUAGAAACUGAUCAACCUAAUUUGAUCAAGGCUGACUGCAAUUUUGUAUGACUAAGUCUGCCUCUGGUUUACUUCACUCCUGGAUAGGUCCUGAACUUUUAUCCUUGUGUUUCAGCAUGGCAGGACUGCUGAAAUCUUUUAUGUUUUUUUGUAGGCUUUCUGCUUAGCUUCUUACCCUUCUGAACCACAGCUUUAAAUUUUUAGCAAAUGCAUUGAGCUCUAUGUAUUGACUAUGUGUCCAUCUCAGUGUUCUGCCCCAUGCUUUCUUAGCCACCCCACUUUCCCUCUCACCACUGCAAAAUUCUCUGCUGGUUUUACUGUCCCCCCAGCAGUGGCCUUCCCUCUUGGAGGCAAAUUUCAGAUUUUCAGCCUCUGCCCCAUUCUCCAGGGUAAAAUAAACAGAUGCAGACUAUUGGCUGCAAUCUCUGAGGUUGCUCCUUUUUUGAAUAUUCCUCCUCCCCUCAGCCUUGGUUGCUUCAGUAGCUCUCCAAUGCCAUGAAAUUAAUUGUUUUUGUUUCAUCUAGCUUUUCUAGUUGUUUUGGGCUAAAGAGUGGUUUGUUGCUACUACUUCAACAUAACCAGAAGCAAAAAUCCAUCAUUUUUUUUAAUGAGUUCUGGGGAGCCCUUGUUAAGGAACAAAAAAAGGACUGCUGGAACAUACAUCCUUUGGGGGGUUUCCUGGGUCAUGUUUUACCUCAGUGUGUCCAAGAGGCAGUAUAGUUGGUUGUAACCAUGACUCUUCAUUUAAGUGCUGAAAAACAUAGGCCAGCCAUUGAAUUUUUUCUGCUUAAAAAGUGAGGACAUUAUCUUCCCUUCUUGACAGAACUGUCAUGAAAAAUAAAUAUUUAUUUAAGAGUUUUGGAAAGGUAAACAUGACAUGUGUUAUGUAUACAGUCAGUCCUACAAUAUCAAAUGUUUGUUUCUCUAGCUGUUCAUUGGAUGAAUGUCUUUCUCCCCUAGUUAGAUUGUAAGCACUUUAAGAGAGGGCCUGUGUCCUCUACUUCCAUCUUAUUUCCUGUGGUUUCAAGCUUUGCGUGACUCACAAAAUAGUCAUCAUUUAAGUGUUUUACUUUUAAAAAGCCACCUUACCCCAUGUCUGUCCAUAUUAAAGUAUUCUGGAAGGCAAGCUAUCAGCCUUGCUAUGGUGUGAAUGUUUCUGUCCCUUUAAAAUUUAUGCAUGGAAAUCUCAAGCCCCAAAGUGAUGGUAGUGAGAGGUGAGGUCUUUGGGAAGUGAUUAGGACUUGAGGACAGAGACCUUAUGAUUGGGAUUAGCACCCUUAUAAAAAUGAGACCCAGAAAGCGAGCCCACCACUUCCACCUUGUGAAGACACAACAAGAAGACAUCAACUAUGAACCAGAAAGCAGGCACUCAACAGACUUCCCAGCCUCUAGAAGGGCAAAAAACAAAUUUCUGUUGUUUAUAAGCUACCAAGCUUAUGAUAUUGUGUUAUAGCAGCCCAAAUGGACUAAGAAAAGCCUCAUUUGGAUUUCUGUCAAUCUAUGUUGGUAAACAACAGCUUUGGGAUUUGUAAUGUUACGUGCUGACAAAUUUAGAGGACCAAUUUUGAUAAUUAGUUUUUAUUUUCUCUUUCAUCCUUUAAACUAAUAAAGUCUUAGGGUAAAGAAAUUUCAACAGCAUGAAACAGUAGAUGACUUCACUUGCUGAUGAUGAUUAGACCCAACUUCUUUUUUCGGUAAUUACUAAUAUGUGGUAGAAGUGGAUCACCUCUCUUAAAGACAGGGUACUUAAAGUGAAAUGCUUCUAUGUACCCAUUCAAUCUCCACCUCUCUCCACCAGACCCUUGCUUUCAUCUAAAAACAAAAGGAACCAAUUACUUAUUCCAAGGUAGUCUUGAAAAUCAUUUAGACAUAAUUAAAGCUUGCAAUAUCCUGUAAGCAAGUACCAUAUUCUAAUAUUUUCUGCCAAGAACUGAAUUUGCUAGGCAUGACACAUUUAUUUCUGGCAGUAGAUGUACCAAAACCUACCAACACCAGGGAAUUAAUAAAUACCACAGCCCUCCUAUGGAGCAAGUUGCAUGAAUAUUUAAUAGGAAAUGCAUGAUGAAUUUCUUGCAUGAUUAUGCAGAAAAACAUUUGGGAAUGAUUGCAGCUGUUACAUGAACUAGCUCAGUCUCCCCCAUCUCUGUCUUUAUCAAUCUCAAUAUUGUACUUUAACUUCAGCAGUAAGCUAUCUCCAAUGAUGAGUAUUGCAGACACCUGUCAACAUUUUAGGACAUGUGUGACUCUUUAUAUAUGCUAUCUGUGUGUGUGUGCCUUACAACUUUCAGUGGUGCAUUUUGAGGGAACUGAGAGAGAAGGUGAAAUAAGCUAAAAGGUAAUAGCUGUCACUCUUAUGGGUGUGUCACAUUUUCUCUGACAAGACCUUUACAUCUCCACCUAAGCCCUGUGAAAAUCUAAUCUAAUCUAAAUUUGAUAACGGUGAGAUUUUUGCAGAUUCUUAGUUGUUUUUAGUAUUACAAAGAUGUUUUUCUUCCUUCAUGUGUAUUGUAUAUCCUUUAACCAUCCUCCCCUUCAAAAUAUGUACCUUUUCAGCAGGUAAAAUAGUCCUUUAACAUUUUUUAACUUUCUGGCACAUUCAUAAGGUUGAAAGAUCAUUGAACAACAAAAAUUUUUUUAAAUCAAGAAUUAGAAACAGAAGAUCAUUUAUCAAAUUUGAACAGGGAGGCCAAGUCAACAUGUUUUGAAAGCCAGUCGGUUUGGGCCCUCCAGAGCUUCAAAGGGCAUCUCUUUAAAAUAAAAGCCGCUUUUUUAUUCCAUUCAAAUUUCCCAAUUCAUAGUCGAUCUUCAGCACCCUGUUCCCAGGAAGUGGGGAUUCCAGAAAACCCUCAAACCCUGGAACCUCCACAGACAGAACACAAUGUUAUCAAAUCACUGCAGGGAGCUCAAACAGGCCCAGAUUUUGACAAUAGCUUGUGACCUUCUAAUGAAUUGCAGGUGACACAAUGUCUAUGCCCUCUAAAGCAAUUGAGUGCUUACUAAAUGUCAUUAAAGAGUUGGCACUCCUUAAAUUAUCAAGUGGUAAUUAUAUUAUUGGCUUCAUAACAAGAAGAAAAUCCUUCUAAAUUACAUAUUUGUUCCCCAAGAGUGGUAGUGAGAUGAGUGGUACCUACAAAGAUGGUGACUUACUUUACUGCUCUCACAUGUUGGAAUCUAUUUUUGGUAAGAGCUCUGGUCAACCUGGACAGAGGCUCUGCAAUCACAAAGAUAAAUGCAUCCUCACUGAAUCAUGUUUCUGUCUGAAGAAAGUGUAGACACAAGAGAGGAUGUGGUAAAAAUCCAAAAAUUUCAAGAUGUGCACCCAAGUUAAACAAACAAACAAAAAAUCACGAACAACACUAGAAAGCAACUUCUUUUUCCAAAAGUUAAAAUGUCACAGUGAGGCAAGACAGUUUCUAUCCUGGCUUCCCUAUUUCCCACUGGAAUCUGAAUGUCUAAUAUGUGUGCAUCCUUUGACAAGCUCACCAGAAAAGGCCAUAUGAAGGUUUCCCACUAUUGAGGACAUCCAGUGCUGCACUGCAAAACCCUUGCAAACAUGUUACACACAGAACAUCCCCUUGUCAGCAAAAGUGAAUACUCAUCCUUACCCAUCACAGAACCUUAAUCAGCAGCAUAGUGCCUCAGUGAUAUAACUUAAGGUGAAAUAGACUCACAUCACCCCCACCUUCCAUCUUGCCAAAGUCUAAAAUUAACAACCAGUUCUUGUGCAAAAAAUCAAAAAGGAAAACUCAUCGUGUGCUAGAAUUAACCUAAAUGCUUUAUUUACGGGGGUCUAUCUUUGGUACUUUUAGAAUAUUUAUAUGCAGGCAGAAAUAUGUAGAUUCAAGGAGAAGAAAGCCAAAGGGCCUUUGCUGUGCUGCACAGAUACAGUUGAAAUGAAUUGCAAUCUGACCAUUAGAUUAUUUCUAUUGUUAAAACAUAAACUUUAGUUUGUGAUGAUGACUUAGUAUAUACCUCAAUUAGAGCAUGAUUAUAGAAUGGUAGAGAAUUCUAGUUCUAAUGAUCCCUAAUGACCUUUUUCUUAACCCAGCACUAUCAGGUAUAGUCAAUUAAAAUGGCCAAAAUAUUUACACUAACUCACCUAAGAAAAGGUAUUUUGAGGAAAUUGUCCUUGCUUCUUUUUGUAUCUUGCAGGAGAGUUCAGUGUUAUCUCUCUCACGUGAAUGAAAAUGAGAAAAUGUUCUUUGUAAAUGAAUAAUACUGUUUAGAGCUAACCUGCAAUAUGUUAAAUUUUAUAUUUGGAAACUGACUUGACCCAACUCAGACUUGCUCUAAAGGAGGCUGAUUCAAGCCACCCAUUGGGAAGGGGCGAAACAAAGCACAGCCACCAGUUUCCUGUUGCCUGGAUCUUUUAUUACAUUGGCUCAUUAAAACUCCUUGUUUGUAUUUGCAUUUUACUCUUGGGCAAUUUUACAACAUAGAAUAGUGAUAAGCUUGCAGGCUGAUCCUACUCAUUAUGUUUAAUCAUGACUGCAAUAAGGGAGAUCAUCGUAUCAUGCCUCUAUCUCAAAUACACUGCAGUGAUUUUAAAAUAGAAUCAGUACCUUACAAUAGCCUUGGCACAUGCUCUCUCUUUUUUCAAGAUGAGUGCUUGAAACAUAAAAUAAAAGGCAUACAAUGAAGUUGGAGAGGUCCCCAUUUUUAAUCAGAAUGUAUGAUUAAAAUGAGGGGAAAACCUUACUGGAAAGCAAAUGUGUGGAGAGAAAGAGAGAAUAAAUGAAUAUCAUUGAAGAGUUUAGUUGAUCUUCUGUGGCUGCCCCACACAUCCCUACUUCAAGACAUCCAUCUGAGUGUGGCCCAAGAGGACCCUCAUGUUGUCUUGGGUUGGUCUUCUGCACAUUCAGGUUUAUAUUGUAGUUUAAGAGAGCCAGUGCUUCAGUUUCUGGCAUCAGUUACUAAUUUUUUUAUGUUAAUGAAAAACACACAUCAGCUCCUUGAAAUUCCCAAAAGCAGCAUCAGUUUUGCCACUAAUUGCAGUACUUUUGGGGUGGUGGAGGGAGAGGGGGAGUGAUUCCAGUAGCAUUAGUUGGGACAGGGUUCUUUGCCUCCCUGAGUGGUCCUCUAACUGAAAACAUUUGUGACUUGCUCCUUCUGGCCUUGAGUUCUCAUGAAUUUUGAGAAAUUGGAAGCUCCCAGGAGCACCAGAGCAUGAUGAAAUAAUGGAACUCUGGAGGAACUCUAGAGGAACUCUGACCUACGAGAUAUGAGGAAGAAAGUCUGCCUCAAACUUCAAACCCCAGCAGAAGGGAAUUUGAGACAUAUCCAUUUGAUCUUCUGUCUCAACCUAACAAGAUAUUCCUCUUCAGGGCUAAAUGCACUCCUACAGGCUCUUCCAGCAACUGAUAUCUUAUGCAUGAGAAUAUUCUAAUGAAUGUGACAAGCACAAAUAUAAUAAAUUGAUUUUCUAUGAAAUGUAAUUUUUGAAAUAACCAGAGGACUUUGGGAUGCUGAGAAUUCCCCCCAAAACUUAGGGAGAAUCACUAAAGUGGGAAUUUGAGGGAUUUUUCCUCCCCUGAAACCCACUUAGAGCCUUUCUCAUUCUAGUUACCAACGCAUAAAAAUUAGCUUUGCUCAAUAGAAUGUGUUCUAUGGAUAAAAACAGAAAUGUCACAAAAGGGUUGAAUACCCCAUUAUACAUAAUAUCUCAACUUUUGCAUACUCAAAACACACAUGCUCAGCAGACACUUUGCUAAAAUUAUUUGCUGCAAAACAUGAAGCAGGCAGGAAGCCUAUGCACAAUGAAUUGAUUUCCAAGUCUUAUUUGUGGCUGAUUUGAGGUUAGAGAGCAUUUCUGUGCUGGGUGGAGUGGUAAAAUGAAUGUUUAUUGCUUAGGAUUUAAAAGGUCCAUUAUCAUUCAGGCUCAGUAAGGUUCUGCCACACAAAACUGAGUGCCAGGCCAGCAGGCAACUGAUUCAAGUGACAAGAGGUGAGCUGCAACAGCCUUUCCAUGUUAAUAAAACAUGUCCCAGCACUCAGAAGGAACUCUAGCACAGUAUGAGAGCAGAUAGAAUUUAUUAAUCAGAACUACCGUUAACUCUAAUUAUAGACUGCCCCCAAGUUACAAAAUAAAUGGAUGCCUUGGAAAUAAAGCAAUGUUUUGUAUAUUGAAUCCCAUAUUUCCACUGAAUCCUCUUAUUAUAAUUGAAAGUGAGUUUUGAUAGAAAAAAGUCUAAUCCCAUUAAUAGAGACUGCCAGAUAGCUCCCUAUCCAAUUUCCCACUUUUAACCUUGUAAUCUUUAGUUCUGGCUGAAGUGCUUGUCCAGGAAUCAGGAACAAUGGCAUCUGGUUCUGAUUCUGCCAGUCAUUAAAUGUGGCACCUUAAGUCAGUCAGCUUUCUCAUCUGCACAAGAGGAGGUGUUAAACUUGAUCAGUUCAUCACAAAUGUUGGGAAUCUUCUGAAAGCUGUGGACCCCCUCCUCAGAAAGAUACAUGUACACACAUACACAAGACCUGUGGGAAUCAAUUUCAGGAGUAAAUCAACAGAAGCCUAUUGAAGAAUCCUAGGUUUAAAAUCUCUGAAGCAGAUCAUCUAAAGUAAUUUGAGCUUUAAAACUUUCUGUGAUUUUGGUUUUUCGACCAGCUUCUGCAUGGAGAUAAUAAAUUACGACAUUAGUUGCAUUGACAAGUCUAAUGUGUGUGAGUGAGUGAGUGUGUGUGACGGGGUCUGGCUCUAUCGCCAGGUUGGAGUGCAGUGGCUCAAACUCAGCUCACUGCAACCUCUACCUCCCAGGCUCAAGUGAUCCUCCCUCCUCAGCCUCCCAGGUCUAUUCUUGACUGACCAAGAUAACUGUGUACCCCUUUCUUCGUGUCAGCUGCCUCUACACAGCAUGGGCAGGAAGAGACUUUGCUUUAAGUAACACAUAUUCUGGUAUACCACAUACCAAUCUGUACCACCAUAAAAUAAGGGACAUCUGUAUGAAUAGACCAAAAUUUCAAACGCUGCAAGUGCAAGUAGAUUGCCUUCAAUAAGCCCUAUGGCAUGAUGUCACUCUGGAGUGACGCCACAGAGCCUCUGGGUCUAGCAGCAGUGUUACAGUGCACAGCUUUCCAUCUCCACAUCUUGUCUAUGCUGUGGAGUUAUUGCUACCAUUUUGAAAGAUAAAAGCAAAUCAUUUGACAUUACACCUAAACAAACUGCUCUUUUAGUUUUUAAAAGUACCAUGCAAUAUAUUUAAAACCGUCCUUCAUUAAAGCACUCAUGUCAUCCUUGAUACUAUAAUCCCUACCUUCAAUUUAUCCUUAAAUACAAUUUAAAUACAAUUUAAAUACAAUUUGAGGAUCUGAGGAGGUAGAGACAGAGAGAGGAUCAGGAUGAGGAUGAAGAUCAGAGGUAAAAUGGGGGUCAGCAAUAGCAUUGGUAUUAGUAGCUAAGGACUUUCUAUUUAAAAGGCACUGAAUUCACAUGCUUUUCUUUCACUACAUUUAGCAAAACUUGAAUCCCAAGGAGUGUUUUUUAGUCCCUGUAAAGCCCAUAUGCAUAUUAAGAAAGCUUUACACCUCCCCCCACCCCCCAAAAAAAAGAACCUUGAGGAAAUCAACUCAGAAUUACUUUGAGAAGUUUGAUAUACCUAGUAAUUAUAUACCAGAAAAAUACAAAAUAGUAAAUAUUAAGUCAGCUUAUGUCUGCCCAACAUUGGGGCACUAAAAUUAGUUUCAGUAUUGACAUCACUAGCCAAGUGACAAGGUAACAGUACUGCAGUGGGAAAAGAUAUUUAUAAUACAUACAACCAACUCUAUCCAGGAUUUACAAAGAUGUCUGCAAGUCAGUAGGAAAAAUACAGCCAAUUCAGUAGAAAAAUGGUGAAGGAACUUGAAGAUACACUUUGAAAAAGAGAAUCUCUAAUGGCUAAUGAAUAUAAAAAAAAGUGCUCUAUCUCAUUAGUCAUUAGGAAAACGCAAAUUCAAAUCUAAGCAAAUACCACUACCCAGUAGAAGACACAAAAGGGAAAAUGGUUGACAAUACCAACUGGAAUAAACAUGUGAAACAACUGGGACUUUCAUACACGGCUGGUAGGAGACUAAAGUUGAAGAUACUGUUGGACCCAGCAAUUUCAUUCCUAGGUAUAUACCCAAGUGAACAUGCACAUGUACAAAAGAAUGCUCACAGUAGCAUUAGUCAUAAUAGACCCAAACUAGAAACAUCUCAGACAUUCAACAAUAGAAGAAUGUAUAAAGAUAUUGUAAUAUAGUCACACAAUGGGAAAUCAAAUGACAAACUACAUUUACAGGCAACAAAACUAGUGAAUUUCACAAACAAACCAAAAAAAAAAGCAAAAGAACCAGACACAAAAGAAUAUAACUGUAGGAAUACAUUUUAUGAAUUUCAAAAGUAGGCAAAACUAAACUGAUUUCAGAAUUUAAGCUAGUGGUUACCUUUGGGGAAGAUGGAAGGGAGAGUGAUUGAGACAGCAUUCAGGAGACAGUGCUUCUGUGAUUUUUAAAUUUCUUGAUAAAAGUGGUGUUUUCACACAUGGAAUCAUUUUGUGAUAGUUUACUGCAGCAUGCAUUUAUAAUCUGUGCACUUUUCUGAAUAUAUUAUUAUUUAAAAAAUAGUUGAGAGAGAGAGAAAGAGAACAUAGCUUGGGGGGAUAUAUACAAGAUUUCAAGUGCUGAAAUCUUAAUUUCUCACUUGCAAACUGUGACUUUGGCAAUUUAUGUAAUUUAUCUGAGCCUCAGUUUCUUCAUUUUUAAAAUGAAGAUAAUAGUGAUUAUCGGCUUUGUAUUACUGAAUGGAAACAUUCAUGAAAAUUAUUUAGCACAGUAAAUGUUUGCUGAUCUAGUCUAUCCCCUCAAUUUACAAAUGAACAAACCAAGAGACAGAAGUGACAUGUCUUGUUCACAAUUCCUACCUAGCCUGUUGUCAGAGCCAGAAUCUGGGCUUAUAACAGAUAAGCAGUCACAGGCAAGGGUGACUACUGUACUGUGAACUGAAAUUAAACAGAAGACACCCUUCAGACCAUUCUGUUUGCUUCUUCCAUGUGUGUCAAUAACACGAGUUACACAUUUUUUUGCUCUGAUUCUGGCUUCACAGUGACAUUACUCAGCAAGUCUCUACAGAGUGGCUUUGGAAAAAAGAUAGCAAAGUAAAUCAAGUAAGUAAUUAAUUCAAUUCAACACAUACUUACUGAGCACAUACUAUGUGCCAGACACCAUUCUAGGCCCUUAGAAUUUUCCAGUAAACAAAAGAGAAAAAAAUGCCUGCCCUCCAAACACUUAUUCUAGUAGACGUAGGGCAGAGAGGGAGGAAGUUGGACAGUGAAAAUUAACACGAUAAAUCAUUUAUAUAUUGUUUUUAAAGGUAAUAAAUGCUUAUUUUAAAAUGUAGGCUUUAUUAUUACUCAAAUAUGGUGAGGCAAAUAGAUCAGGAGACAACUGCCAUUGUAAAGACAACUGUUAUUUUCACAGGUCCCGAUUUAGGCUUAUAAUGCAUAAGCAGUCACAGGCAAGGGCGACUACUGUACUUGAACUGAAAUUGAAUAGAAGGCACCCCUCAGACCAUUUUGUUUGCUUCUUCCAUGGUUUUCAACAACACAAGACACACAGGGGCCACAGGCGCCACAAGGGGAAGCACCAGAGUGGAUCAGGAGGCAGGAGCAAGACAAAAGUACAGACAAGAGCCUUUACUGUGGCAUCUACAGGAAGCAAUGGAUAAGGCAAGGUAAGCAGGUUUAGGAUUGGUGAGUUUGAAUAAUUUCAGCAGGCCCUGGGGUGUAGGUACCUGGCCUUGGGAUGAAAGUAGGAAGGGGAAAAGUGGCCUGGAAUGUGAGAGUUCAAUAUAGGAAGUGGUUGGACAUUUGGGCUCUGGAUUGGUUUGUUUGCAUUCAAAAGACAUGCUCACAAGCCAGUCAUUUACUAGUUCUAGGAAUUGGCUAGCUCUGAAAGGAUCACUCUUCAGGGUCAGGAAGGCUUCAGAUGUCAAAGGACCAGAAACUCAUGAUUAAUACAGUGGUCUGAAAAAGAGGGCAAGGAACAGGGACUAAGGAGUUACUGAUCAUCAUCCAAUUUAGAAGAUUUAUCAAAUAGAUCACCAAAUGUGCAUCUGACUUUUGUUGAACUAGAUUUGUAUGUUUUCUUUUACAUUUUAAUUUUAGUCCUUAGCUGUCAGUGCAGAAUUGACUAUCCCAUGUAGGGGGAAACAUGUCAUAUAUAAAAACUAAUUCACAUUUUGUGACUAUGCUCAAUACUAAAAAAUAAGAAAUGGUGGUUUGCAUUUUUGUCUAUGUACUUGUGUAGCUUGGAAGCCACCUAGCCAGAAAUAAGCCUAAGUCAUCAUUCUUCCAGAACAGCUGCUUAUGUGAUGCUUACAUUCUGCACACUCAAAUGAUAAUCUCAUGGUCAGGUCAGUACCCCCACUCCAGGACCCGGAUGUAACUAUAGCUGUAUGGAGAUAUAGAAUGGAGAUGACAGCACAAUUCAUUGUUAUAUAGAGUUUACUAUACAUGGUUCUAAAUAAUGAACAAUAGAGUCUAUACAGUGAAUCUGGGGCCAAUCUUUAGACUUUCCUCAUUGUAAAACAAUUACUAUCUUUAAUUUGUGUGGUUAAGAGGAUAAAUAGUUCUGAUCUAGGCCUAUGCUUAAUCCUCUUUUCUGUCAGUCACCAACAAAUAGAAGCCAUUGGGUGGUGGUAGUAGGGCAGACCUUGGGAAGUACAGGAAAUCAGAGUGGAAGACAAUCAAAAGUUGGCAAAGUGUUAAAGAGUUAUAAAUGAUUAAUCCGAAAAGGAAAUGACAAAAAAAAUGCUUCUGCAAACAUUUUAAAAACACUGCUACUUUACUCAUAAUCAAGGCAAUCACAACCUGUUCGAAGCAUGUAACACUUGUGAAUAGAUGUCUGUCAGGCAGAGACUGGGGAGUUUUAAGAGGCCCCAGAGUGGUUAAUGGGGGAAUUAGCACAAUUCAGAAAAGACAUUAAUUAGGUCAAUCUGCAGUUUUGAAAAACUUUAGCACCUCUCCAAUGCUAUUAGUGAAUUAAUGACCCCAGUUAUUGAACAACAGACAAAGAUUAACACAAAAAUUUGGGCUGUUAAAGCCGACUUUAAAAGGGAAGUCCAAAGAGAACUAACAAAGUUGGAAAACUACAAUAAGAAUUAAUGGAAGUGUGUUCAUGAAUUAUAAAAACAGACGAUGAAAUAAUGAAUCUUUUAUAAAGAACUCUUCAGCACAAACUUACAACUAAAAGGAAGAGAAUGCCCAGUGAUACUUAGCCUAACAAGAGGUUGUAUAGCUUCUCUAAAAAAGAAAUUUUAAUUUGUAUAGUAAGUAUGAAUUUGCUCAGUAAUACUUGGGAAUAAGAAGUAUCCCAAUAAUUUGCUGAUCUUUAAAUUAAUUCUGGCACCAGCUCCCCCUCUCAUGGUGCGGUGUGUCAUAUUUUAGGAGCCUCUCCUUUAGGCAUUACAGAAUCCAGACACUUAUGUAAUGUCUCAACACAGGGAAAGAGCCUGUCCCUUUAUGUCCCUUAAGGUGAUUCCCAUGCCUGCUGCUCCUUCUACUACUUGGUGAUCUUAUACACCUGGCCCUCCACUCUCUGUCAAACAAUGAUGCUCCAGAAAGAACGGAGCUGUCCUUCCCUGCAGUCCCCACCAAUGACCACUGAAACCCUUGUAGGAAUGAUACAAUAUCACCCGUUAGGGCUGAUGGGGUAAGUACAGACCCUUUCCAGAUAGCAUAAUGUUUUGCAAUCUGUGUGUGGCAAAUAAUACUCAAUUGUUAUGGAGAGGCCUGGGAUUAUAUAAUUUAAACAUGCUGUUUGUUUCCAAACACAGAAUAACGUAAUCAAGAAAUUCUGCCAUUGGAAAAAACUAUGCGACAACCAAUAAUCAAUAGAAUAUUAAGACUUUAUUCCCACUUUUUUUAUGGAAAAGCCAAUGUCUUUGGCAUAUUUUGCCAAUUCAGGAUGUGUUACAUACAAUCUUCCUUACCAUUCUGUAAGAAUCAAAAUUCAUUGUUAAGAGCUAACAUUUCUGUCUCCACACAAAUAAUUCCUGAAUAUAUUGGGAGUAGUGUGGCUUGUACAAAAAAAAAAUAUAUAUAUAUAUAUACACACACACACACACACACAUAUAUAUAUGAAAUGAUUGUUUUCCAGAAUAACUAUUGUUACCAGAAAAGGGAUUCUUUAUGAACGGCAAAUCAUGUUGACUGACUCAAAUUCCUCAGGAUAGUACCUCCUCCACAUCUAUCUUAAAAUUUGUGAGGUGGGAGGUUUGCUUGAGCAUGAGGAUUUGAGACAACUCUGGGCAACAUAGUGAGACCUCGUCUCUACUAAAAAUUAAAAAAAAAAAAAAGAUUAGUCAAGCAUGAUGGUGCACACCGAUAGUCCCAGUACCUGGAAGGCUGAGGGGGAGGAUCACUUCAGUCCAGGAGUUCAAGGUUGCAGUGAGCCAUGAUGAUGCCACUGCACUCCAAUCUGGGUGAGGCCUUGUCUUUAAAAAAAAAAAAAAAAGUUUACUAUGUGGGACUUCACACAGUUAAUCAAUCACAGAGUUUAAUCAGCUUUAGCAGGUGGAAUAAGGAAGCAUUCUAAUACUAACAUUUCCAGUGGAAGUGGAACAACAUAAUCUGGAAUCUGUAGGGAAAAAGAGCUAAAGGCAAAAACAGAGGACAUUUGAUGAUGUUCUUCCAGAUUUACAGACAAGACUAUAGUAGUAGAGAUUGGACAAAAGAUUCCAAACUUUUUUAGAAGGCCACAAUUAAAAAGUUUAGUUUCUUUCUAGAAGAGAAGCUAAAGGAGACAGCACAAAUUUUAGAGGCACCUUUAAUGGUCAUUGUGGAACUCCUCAAGAGCAAGGGCUUUGUAAGCCAUUUCGGCAUAGUUCUGCAUUACAGAUUACACUGUUCUUGAAUAUUAGGAAUUAGUGCUUCCAUGUUCCUUGCAUUUGCACUUGACUAUACCCAACCCCAACACUGAGGUGAAGAAUCAGAAACAAGAAAUGGUGGGUUUUGGUCAUCUCAAUGUACUAAUCAUAAACUCAUGUCAAAAUAUACCCAGCAAAUCAAUCAGCCUGUCAACCAGUCUUGCCUGGUUUUCUCACUCUUGACACCAAAACAUUGAAUUACUUAGGUAGGUAAAUGACUCAGGAAUCACAAAUAACAAUCCUUGAAUUGUUUCUCAACUUGAGAUAGUAUGAAGAAGACAGAGGACUUACUAAGAAUGACUAAACUACAUUCAGUAAUGAGAAUUUGAUUCCAUUUACUUUACACAUGUGUACACAAUAAACUACAAUGUAAAAAAGAAAAUGAUUCUCCAGUUCCCUCACCAUGGAACUGAUAACCUUUAACUGGAGUGAUAAAGGAACAGUCUGGUCCAGUCUGGAUCCUCUUUAGAGCUUUGCAUGUCCCUUGUCUUACAUUUUCUCAUAUGUGCUGGGACAGUCGAGUCAAUUCUUGAGAAAAACAAAGUCAUGCUACAGAUCUUUGGGACCCUGAGAGCUCUGUGCUUGGGAUAAGGAGUAGAAAAAGAAUUCUUACUUAGAAUAAAUAUAGAUGAAACAAAGAGGAAAAAAGGGAAGAUGAUGGGUCUGCAUGGGACACCAGGAGUCCUCAGGUCUGCAUCUCUCUGACCUUGAACUUUGUUCUCUCACUCAAUUCAUCUCUGCCCUAAGAGCAGUAGGAAGAGUCACAGGUGACAAGAAAGGCAGCUUAUAUUUUUGCAGUAUCUUUCAAAUUUUUUAUCUUGCUCAUGCCACACACAAGGGCAGUGUAUUAAUCAGGGUUCUGUAGAGGGACAGAACUAACUGGAUCCCAUGAUGGGCUGUCUGCAAGUUGAGGAGCAGGGAAGCCAGUGGUGGAUCAGUCUGAGUCCCAAAACCUUAAAAGUAGGGAAGCUGACAGUGCAGACUUCAGUCUGUGGCCAAAGGCCUGAGAGCCCCUGGCAAACCACUGGUGUAAGUCCAAGAGUCCAAAAGCUGAAGAACUUGGAGUCUGAUGCUCAAGGGCAGGAAGCAACCAGCACAGCAGGAUUUUGUCCUGCCUGCUUUCUUCUAGCCACUCUGGUAGCUGAUUAGAUGGUGCCCACCCAGACUGAGGGUGGGUCUGCCUCUCCCAGUCCGCUGACUCAAAUGUUAAUCUCCUUUGGCAACACCCUCACAGACACACCCAGGAACAAUACUUUGCAUACUUCAAUCAAGUUGACAUUCAAUAUUAACCAUCACAGGCAGCAUUAUUUAAGCUGUAGCAAUGGGAAUAUCCAAACCCCUUUGGGUUAAAAAAAAAAAAAAAAAAAAAAAGUACACCACAAUACUUUCUAAGUAAUACUAUUAAUAAUAGACAUCCCUCCAUAAAAACUGGCUUCAGGUGUUCCCAGUAGGUCAUUUCUCACCCAAAACUGUCACGGUUACGACACCAUGGAUUCAAAAGCCAAUGGAUUUAAUAUUCUAGAAAGAUCCUCAUGCUUGGAAAUCCAAAGUUAUUGGAUUCCUUUCAAUCUGUAAAGUUGAGUAGCUCUAGAAGGACCACAUUUUUGUUUUAUUUGCAGCCGGGGCCUAUCACAGAUUAUUACAUUUUCUCUUUCUUGGCUGGAAUUAAUACUAAGUACUUUACAAAGGAGACACUGGAUGUUCCUGAUCUUUCUUUGGCAGCUAAUUAUCGUAAUGAUGAGCGCCUAUAUAAAACCUAACCAUGAGUUUGCCCUCUGUCAACUGCAAAACUAAGGAAUCUAAAUGCGGAACACGUCCAAGUUUUAGAAGGCAGUAACUGGUUCAGGCAUCAGAGGAUGCAGGAGUGAUGACUGGGCAUCUACAGCAUUAACAUGCACCAUUUUGAGCAAGAGCCAUUACUGAAAAGACUUACAUCCCUAAAAGCACAGUGAGGAGCUUCCUUCCCUGUCUGCUGAAAAGGCUGACCCAAGGCCAGCCUGGGGCUGCUUAGGUGCCUUAGAAAGUCAUUGUAUGACUAAACAGUUCAAGGGCUCCUUGACUCAAACUCUCUUCAUAUUAGAGAUUUGAAAUUUUCAAGGAAAAAUAGAUAAGAAAAAACAAAAUGUGUGGAAUGACUAUUUACCAUGUGCCAGGCACUUGCUAAGCAUUUUAUGAACUUUAUGCCAAUUAAACUUAAUACAAACCUAAAAAGUGGAAUGACAUGCAAAAUAUUAUACUCUACAACAAAUACAACACUGGCCCUGACCAAUUAAUUUAAUGGACACUUUUUUUUUUUUUUUUUUUCAGAUGGGGUUUUGCUCUGUCACCCAGGCUGGAGUGCAGUGGUGCAAUCUUGGCUCACUGCAACCUCCGCCUCCCAGGUUCAAGUGAUUCUCCUGCCUCAGCUUCCCAAGUAGCUGGGAUCACAGGCAUGUGCUACUGCACCCAGCUAAUUUUUGUAUUUCUAGAAGAGACGGGGUUUCACCAUGUUGGUCAGGCUGGUCUUGAACUCCUGACCUCAGGUGAUCCACCCAUCUUGGCGUCCCAAAGUGCUGGGAUUACAGGCGUGAACCACCAUGCCCAGCCAAUUUAAUGGACACUUAACUUAUCCAUAACCCCUCCAGUUAUUAUGCCAUACCAGUAUAUAACUGGCUGAAGAUUAAUCACAUUUUGCAGGUGAGAAAACUGAGGCUUAGAGAGGCUGAGUAACCUGUCCAAGAUAUACUGCUAGAAAGUGGAAGAGUUGAGAUUUGCACAUCUGCCUGAUUCCAAAGCUUGAGAUCCCCUUCUUGUUACCAUACAUGUUUCCUCUUGUUAAGUGACCGGUUCCUUAAUAAGAGGAUUUUUGUCACCAUUAAGAUGCUGGAUGAAAGGCUAUCCAUGAAGAAACCAUGCUGAACACUCCCAACAUCUACUGUGUGUGCAUUGAGGUUUUUAUCUUUUGUAUAUCUCCCUGGUAAGCAUCUUCAAGCUCUUCCCAUUGUCUACAGACUCUAAACUCCCUAGCUCUGGCCUCAUAACUUAAUAAUCCACUCUAAACUCCACCAGUCCUGUGGAUCUUAUACUCCAGACACUCUAGGUGCCUAGUCAUUCCCCAAAUAUACUUGAACUUUCCUUAUUUCUUGUCUUUGCUCAUGCUCUAUCUAAGUCAGAACUGUUCUCUAGCCUUUAACCCCAGUUGAAAUCCAGGACCUCUUUUAACAGCCAAUUAAAACUUGCCCCCCUAUAUUAGACAGUUAACUUACCUGCCCCUAUCAAAACCCCUGCAAGGGGCAGCCUGAUAGGCCAUGUGGUGCCUUCAUUUUCACACUGACGCCCCUCAGCAACAGCUGACCCAAGGCUAGCCUGUCCAUCAGCUAGUUAGCAACCAAUUAGAUUGCUAACUUUAUGUCUAAAGGAGAAAUAGAGGCCAAGUGGGGCUGAAUACAAGACUCAAAAGGUCCUGUCAAACUAGGAUGAGCAACAUGUAGGGCUGAGUGAGAGUAGAGGAAACAGAGAGGGUACAAAGAGGGACCAGAGAUUGCUUCUGCAGCAGUUUAUCUGCCUCAGGCCCCCUUUCUCAUGAGGCCUGGAUGCAUUUUGAUUUUCUGCGAUCUUCAUAUUCUUUCAACAAUCCCUCCUUUACUUGAGUUAACAUGAGUAGGUCCCUUCUGGAAAACAAAGAACCUUGCCUAGAGAUCAGGUUUCUCUGCUCACUGUACAAGAUUUAAUACCCUCCUGCUUGGCAGUCCACUAAGGCCUUUUUUAUUUAUACUUCAAUUUUGGCACUUUUAUCUCACCUUCAAUUAAUGUUAAUUAUGCAUAUAUGUCUGUCUCACCACUUUUCCUUCAGACCACGUCCAUUCAUCUUUUCCUUAGCAGUGAGUAGAACCUGGCACACACUAGAGUGUUAACAAAUGUUUAUUAAAUUGGGUACUUCUUGGUGAUGUCAAUAACCAUGCCACCAAUGGGGCCUUGUAAAGUUAUAUUAUUGAUAUGUCACAAAAGAUUUUACCAUCACUACCACCCACAUACUUGGAGUGUCUACUCCAAAAAGGUGACAAAAGAAGGAAAGAGAUGCAGUGAUGUUUAGCCAACCACCCAACAUUUGUGCUCUCCUUCUCCAGCAUAGAGAUGUAGCUGGUAAAUGCCUUCCCAGACAGGAACCAUAUUUCCCAGCUGCUUACAUAUAGGUAGGGUUAAUGUAUACUUCUUCCCCACAGAACGUGAGCCAUGGUGAUGGAAGCCUCUUCCAAACCAAAGUGCUUAAUAAGUGCUCGUGAGGACCAUACAAUGUGGAAGGAACCUGGGUCCCUGAAAAUUCCCACAGAAGGCUACUGACCAAGAAAUCUUUCAAAAGACUAUGACAGGAGCAAAAACUACAUUUUUAUUGGGUUAAACUACAGAGAUUUCUGGGUGUAUCUGUUACAGCAACUGGUGUUAAUUAAACAGAGAAGAGCACCGUUCCAUUUUCUCUUUAAGGUUGGAGUAUUAAAUUGCCUCUAUUGUCUCUUUUACGGUAUUGAUAUUUUUUGAUUGAUUGAUCGACCAGGUUUCUUUACUAUCAAUUCUUCACCUUUAAUGGGCCCUCUUUAUAUUUUUUCUACAUAUCCCUGCAUUAUAUUUUCUUGAUGUUUCCCGGGACAUCUUAG
rnacentral:lncRNA from 10 species